GACGACGACGCGGGGUGCCGCUCGCGCAGAGCGCAGCGGCUGAGAUCACACCCGUCGAACCUGAUCUAGUUCGUACUAGCGAAGGGAACGUCGAUGUCGGCCAUG
rnacentral:ncRNA from 2 species